rnacentral:rRNA from 1 species
AGUGAACGCUGGCGGUAGGCCUAACACAUGCAAGUCGAACGGCAGCACAGGAGAGCUUGCUCUCUGGUGGCGAGUGGCGGACGGGUGAGGAAUACAUCGGAAUCUACUCUGUCGUGGGGGAUAACGUAGGGAAACUUACGCUAAUACCGCAUACGACCUACGGGUGAAAGUGGGGGACCGCAAGGCCUCACGCGAUUGAAUGAGCCGAUGUCGGAUUAGCUAGUUGGCGGGGUAAAGGCCCACCAAGGCGACGAUCCGUAGCUGGUCUGAGAGGAUGAUCAGCCACACUGGAACUGAGACACGGUCCAGACUCCUACGGGAGGCAGCAGUGGGGAAUAUUGGACAAUGGGCACAAGCCUGAUCCAGCCAUACCGCGUGAGUGAAGAAGGCCCUCGGGUUGUAAAGCUCUUUUGUUGGGAAAGAAAUCCUGUUGGCUAAUACCCGGCGGGGAUGACGGUACCCAAAGAAUAAGCACCGGCUAACUUCGUGCCAGCAGCCGCGGUAAU